rnacentral:tRNA from 1 species
GGCGGCAUGGCGAAGUGGUCAACGCGGCGGUCUGCAAAACCGCUAUUCGCCGGUUCAAAUCCGGCUGCCGCCUCCA